rnacentral:lncRNA from 1 species
GGGGGUGGGGUUGGUGAUGGCUUGGGAUUGGGAUGGGGAUGGGGAUGGCUUCAAGAUUAAUAGGCGGGCUUAGAGAAGAGGUCAUGGGCAGUGGAGAAGGAUUUGGAGAUGGAGGUGGGAUCGCUAGGGUCGAUGGAGGAUGAAGAAGGUGAAGCCAAUGAGAAUGCCGAUGGAGGAUCUAGAGAUGAAGAAGGUGAAGUUGGGGUAGAUGGAGGAUCUAAAGAUGAAUAAGGCGGAGUUAAGGUAGAUGGAUGAUCUAGAGAGGGAUGUAUUUUUUUUUUUUUUGGGUGUUGAAGCUGAUUUUCUUAAUUUUUGAGUUUUUUUUUAAAAUUAAUUUAAUAUUUAAACAGUUAUUUAUGUAUUUUUUAAUCCAUGUGGUAUCCACCUGAGUAAAAAAAAGCCACAUUAGAGUAGCCACGUCAUCACUUAACACCUCCACUAACUGUCUGACUAAUGGAGUGACUCAAUUGUGUGUUUUACAAAAGGUCAGGUACGUCAAUGAAAAAUUUCAAAGGUCUAGUACUAAUUUGAAACGAACCCUAAAGGUUGGGUACUUUUAUAUAGUUAAUCCAAUAAACUAACAUGGGAAAAAAUUUAUGCAAUUAAAUACAAUUUAGAUAAAUAAACAUGGCUCCACUAUUGGUCAUAUUAUAGUUGCCCCAAUCUAAAAUAAACUAGAAUAAGGAUACAAAUAUUUUUGCUUUCUU